GGUAAAAGAACGUCUUACGUUUAGUCUUCGAUCAGAGUUCAAUCGAAUUUCAAUUCGACUACACACACAAAGUACUAAAGCAAUCAACGACAUCAUCAACAUGUACAAAAUCGUGUUCGUCGUAUGCGUGUUCGCCUUUGCGUUACAAGGUGCUUUCAGCAGCCCUGUAGCCGAAAAUGAGCCCGCGUUGCAAGGCGAAAAAUUGCCCAAUCCUGAAGUACAGAAGAUUGCUGUAGUGCAGGAAAACGAAGGUGAUGCAACUCCUAGUACGACUGUAACGCAACCGAGUGUUUCCUCUACAACCCCAAAGAGUGGCGCUUCCAGCUCGGAAAUUUGCAUACUGCUCGUUCAAGUUUCAUCGUUAGCGCUAAUCGCCAAGCAAAUGCUGUUGUAAAUUUAGUUAAGUAUGUAGUUUGACGAAAAAAAAAUAACUAAUUUCAAAUAUACAAGUAUUCAUUACAUAA